UUUUUUUUUUUGAUUGGAAUAGAUGAAUCUCUGUCGUAUUUUUGGCACUAACUAUUAAUCCCAAAAGAUCGAGUUGUUAGAAAUAUACAAUCUAUUCACAUAAAGUGUACAGACACAAUGCCCAUGGAUCUCGAUUAUAAUUCAGCUCAACCAUGCGCGCUCACGCUAUUUCGAACAUAACUCGGCCCUACGCGGCCUCCUGUAUUUCUUUUUUCGAUUGGAAGAGAUGAAGUAUGUUGUUCAAUACUCUGUAGGAUUGUUAGCGUUAACUAUUAAUCCAAAAAGAUCGAGCUGUUAGAAAUACAUAAUCAAUUCACUUAAAAUAUAUAAAUACAACAUUCAUAGAUUUUGAUUAUAACUUGGCUCAAAAAGACUCACGCAACUUUAAACAUAAUUCGGCCCAAUCUGGCAUUUUGCCUUUUUUUUUUUUUCUUUUUCGAUUGGAAGAGAUUAAAGUGUUUUGUCCAAUGCUCUGUUGGAUCAUUAAUGGUCGCUAUUAAUUAAUCUCAAAAGCUCAAGCUAUUAGAUAUACGCAACUAAUUCACUUCGAACCUACAACCUCUUACUCUAAUACCACUUGUUUGAUCGUUGGCACAAUCAUUAAUCUAAAAGCUCGAGCUGUUAGAAAUAUAUAAGAACUAAUGCCUUAUUAUGAUGCCCAUUGCCUCGUUAGAAGCAAUCAAUUUAAAAGUAAAAUCCCAAAAGCAAAAAAAUAUAAAAAA
rnacentral:lncRNA from 1 species